rnacentral:rRNA from 1 species
GAUGAACGCUGGCGGCGUGCCUAAUACAUGCAAGUCGAGCGAACGGACGAGAAGCUUGCUUCUCUGAUGUUAGCGGCGGACGCGUGAGUAACACGUGGAUAACCUACCUAUAAGACUGGGAUAACUUCGGGAAACCGGAGCUAAUACCGGAUGAUAUUUUGAACCGCAUGGUUCAAAAGUGAAAGACGGUCUUGCUGUCACUUAUAGAUGGAUCCGCGCUGCAUUAGCUAGUUGGUAAGGUAACGGCUUACCAAGGCAACGAUGCAUAGCCGACCUGAGAGGGUGAUCGGCCACACUGGAACUGAGACACGGUCCAGACUCCUACGGGAGGCAGCAGUAGGGAAUCUUCCGCAAUGGGCGAAAGCCUGACGGAGCAACGCCGCGUGAGUGAUGAAGGUCUUCGGAUCGUAAAACUCUGUUAUUAGGGAAGAACAUAUGUGUAAGUAACUGUGCACAUCUUGACGGUACCUAAUCAGAAAGCCACGGCUAACUACGU